rnacentral:rRNA from 1 species
GAUGAACGCUGGCGGCGUGCCUAAUACAUGCAAGUCGAGCGAACAGACGAGGAGCUUGCUCCUCUGACGUUAGCGGCGGACGGGUGAGUAACACGUGGAUAACCUACCUAUAAGACUGGGAUAACUUCGGGAAACCGGAGCUAAUACCGGAUAAUAUAUUGAACCGCAUGGUUCAAUAGUGAAAGACGGUUUUGCUGUCACUUAUAGAUGGUUCCGCGCCGCAUUAGCUAGUUGGUGAGGUAACGGCUUACCAAGGCGACGAUGCGUAGCCGACCUGUGAGGGGGAUCGGCCACACGGGAACUGGGACGGGGUCAAGACUCCUACGGGAGGCAGCAGUAGGGAAUCGGCCGCAAUGGGCGAAAGCCUGACGGAGCAACGCCGCGUGAGUGAUGAAGGUCUUCGGAUCGUAAAACUCUGUUAUUAGGGAAGAACAAAUGUGUAAGUAACUAUGCACGUCGUGACGGUACUUAAUCAGAAAGCCACGGCUAACUACGUG